CUCUUUUGUUUUCUUUUUUGACCACAGAAUCUUGUAUUAAUUUUGAAUAUUAAUAGCUUUGAAUAAAUAUAGUACUUUAUGUUUGACGAGAUUUUCACUGCUGUUCUCUGGAGCUGAUUGAUUUCUGUUUCUGAGAUUUUAUUUCAUGAAGUUAGUGUUGAUUGCAUGAAUGCAUCCAAUGUUUUUUCUGGUGGUGUCUCUGAUGUUCUUUGUCUUAUCUGGUUCUAUUGUCACUGUUCUUGGAUAGAGCAGAUUCAUGGUUGCUUGAUUUCAGAUUCCCUGCAGCAACUAAAAUCAGUUAGCAGAAAUCAUAUUAGGGUUACAUCAACUUUCAUGCCGCUGUUCUUUUUUAAUUUACAUAGAUAUUUUAGGAUUUAUAAUCUUACCUUUGUUUAAGAAAAACACUAAGAUGUUACUAUCUCUUGAUUAUAUAUAUGUCUAGUUUCUUUGUGUAUUAUAGUGCUAUUUCAAAUGAUUGAAGCUCUAAUUUUGUGAAAAUAUUACAAUUUUUUGGUGUAAUUUUUAAUUUAUUUACGUGGCAUCGUUAUUUGGUGUAUUAUACUGUAUAACAUUUCUGAAUAUGCUUAUGUACCUUAUUUUCUUAAAUCAUUAUAAAUUCAACCAUGAUCAAGAAGCUUGAAAUGAAUCAUGAUCAUGGACUUGGACUAUCCACUUUGUUAUCUUUAGUUGUUGUAGAGUCACCGAUAUCCAUCG
rnacentral:lncRNA from 1 species